GACGUAGGGCGCGAGCGUUGUCCGGAUUUAUUGGGCGUAAAGAGCUCGUAGGCGGCUCAGUAAGUCAGGUGUGAAAACUCCAGGCUCAACCUGGAGACGCCACUUGAUACUGCUGUGGCUAGAGUCCGGUAGGGGAGCAUGGAAUUCCUGGUGUAGCGGUGAAAUGCGCAGAUAUCAGGAGGAACACCAGUGGCGAAGGCGGUGCUCUGGGCCGGAACUGACGCUGAGGAGCGAAAGCGUGGGGAGCAAACAGG
rnacentral:rRNA from 1 species